rnacentral:rRNA from 1 species
AGCAGCCGCGGUAAUUCCAGCUCCAAUAGCGUAUAUUAAAGUUGUUGCAGUUAAAAAGCUCGUAGUUGAAUUUCGGGAUCAGUAAGCCGGUCGUACCUUCGGUAUGUACUGGUGUCACUGAUUCCUCCCUUCUGAUGAACCGUUAUACCAUUUAGUUGGUGUGGCGGGGAAUCAGGACUGUUACUUUGAAAAAAUUAGAGUGUUUAAAGCAAGCUCGCGCUUGAAUACAUUAGCAUGGAAUAAUAAAUAGGACGUUUGAUCUCCUAUUUUGUUGGUUUCUAGGAUCGACGUAAUGAUUAAUAGGGAUAGUUGGGGGCAUUAGUAUUCAAUUGUCAGAGGUGAAAUUCUUGAAUUUAUUGAAGACUAACUACUGCGAAAGCAUUUGCCAAGGAUGUUUUCAUUAAUCAAGAACGAAAGUUAGGGGAUC